rnacentral:rRNA from 1 species
CACGUAGGCAGCGAGCGUUGUUCGGAAUUACUGGGCGUAAAGAGUGUGUAGGCGGUGUUCCCAGUCUGUUGUGAAAUCUCCCGGCUUAACUGGGAGGGUGCAGCGGAGACUAGAAUGCUAGAGGGUGGGAGAGGUAAGCGGAAUUCCUGGUGUAGCGGUGAAAUGCGUAGAUAUCAGGAGGAACACCUGUGGUGUAGACAGCUUACUGGACCACUUCUGACGCUGAGACACGAAAGCGUGGGUAGCAAACAGG